rnacentral:misc_RNA from 1 species
AAUCUUUUUACAAUUUCUUGAGGGGUGUUAUGCCAUGCCUUAAGAACACGAAUUAGAUUAUCAUCCAAAGGGUUAAUGUUAUUGGACCAUACUCUGCUUUUCUACAAAUGGAAUGCACUUUCUUUGUUAGUUUGUCCACCAGACUUAUGGGUUUCUCUCUUUCUCUUCUUCUCAUCUUCUCUGUCAUAUUUUCCAAUGUUGUUACAGGGAAUGCAUUCAAAGGAACUUAUGGAGUAAACUAUGGUAAGAUAGCAGAUAAUUUACCUUCACCACGCAGCGUGGUGACACUUCUCAAAGCUGCAAAGAUUAAAAAUAUUAGAAUCUAUGAUGCUGAUCAUGAAGUCCUCAAGGCCUUCAAAGGUUCUGGCAUUGAAAUAAUUGUUGGACUUGGCAAUGAGUAUUUGAAAGAGAUUAGUGUAGGCGAGGAUCGUGCGAUGUAUUGGAUCAAAGAAAAUGUGCAGCCCUUCCUUCCCGGAACUAAAAUUGUUGGAAUUGCUGUAGGAAAUGAGAUCUUGGGGGGUGACGACCAUGAGCUCUGGGAAGUUUUGCUGCCUUCUGUGAAAAAUGUUUAUGCUGCUCUUCGGCAGGCGGGUUUGGGAAAAUCUGUUGCUGUCUCUAGUCCACAUUCUGAGGCUGUUUUUACCAAUUCCUACCCACCAUCUGCAUGCGUUUUCAGGGAAGAUGUUCUUAUUUACAUGAAGCCAUUGUUGCAAUUCUUCUCACAGAUUGGUUCUCCUUUCUACAUUAAUGCCUACCCUUUUCUAGCCUACAAGAGUGAUCCUGAGCAUAUUGACAUUAACUAUGCUCUUUUCAAAUCAAAUUCUGGAAUUGUAGAUGCAAAGACUCAUCUGCACUAUGAUAACAUGUUUGAUGCUCAGGUUGAUGCAGCUUAUGCUGCCCUGGAAAAGGCAGGGUUUCCCAAGAUGGAAGUCAUAGUUUCUGAAACUGGCUGGGCGUCUCGUGGAGAUGCAAAUGAAGCAGGUGCUACAAGGCAACAUGCAAGGACUUACAAUUAUAAUCUUCGGAAACGGCUAGCUAAAAAGAAGGGGACUCCCUAUAGGCCUAAGACUGUGGUGAGAGCUUAUAUUUUUGCAUUGUUCAAUGAGAAUUUGAAGCCUGGGCCAACUUCUGAGAGACACUUUGGAUUGUUCAACCAUGAUGGGAGCAUGUCAUAUGAUAUUGGAUUCACUGGACUUAAAGAAUCAUCAGCAGUUUCAUCUCUUCUUUCUUUGAAGGAAAGUUGGCUGGGGUCUUCCCAUUCAUUAGCUUUUGCAACCUGCACAACAGUUCUGCUAUUAGUUUUAGCUUCAUAAUUGGUGACAAAAAGUAUUGAGCUUCUUUUAUCCAUGUUCAAUAUGAUGGUGCAGCAGCUCAAGGAAAAAACUCCAGGUUCUUGAAUUUACUAAUGUAGUUGUAACACAUCAAUUUGUAACCAAUUCAUUCGUUGUUCUUGGACAGACAAUUAAUUGUUGAAUCAAAAUUGAUUCACUGAAAAAUUGCUGAUUGUUUUUUCAAUUAUCUUCAGCAAUGCACCAGUCUUGUAAAUAAAAUUGAAAAAGAAGCUAUUGUUAUAAACUUGCCAUUUC